rnacentral:rRNA from 1 species
GACGAACGCUGGCGGCGUGCUUAACACAUGCAAGUCGAACGGAAAGGCCCUGCUUUUGUGGGGUGCUCGAGUGGCGAACGGGUGAGUAACACGUGAGUAACCUGCCCUUGACUUUGGGAUAACUUCAGGAAACUGGGGCUAAUAUCGGAUAGGAGCUCCUGCUGCAUGGUGGGGGUUGGAAAGUUUCGGCGGUUGGGGAUGGACUCGCGGCUUAUCAGCUUGUUGGUGGGGUAGUGGCUUACCAAGGCUUUGACGGGUAGCCGGCCUGAGAGGGUGACCGGCCACAUUGGGACUGAGAUACGGCCCAGACUCCUACGGGAGGCAGCAGUGGGAGAUAGUGCACAAUGGGCGGAAGCCUUAUGCAGCGACGCCGCGUGCGAGAUGACGGCCUUCGGGGUGUAAACCGCGUUCGCCUGUGACGAAGCGUGAGUGACGGUAAUGGGUAAAGAAGCACCGGCUAACUACGUG